ACACACAUUUACAAAAUGCCUAUAACUUGUCAGAACUAUGCUAAUCAUUUAUAUAUAUUAUCAUAUUUGAUAUAAUUGGUAGAGCAAAUAAAGGAAGUGGGUUCCUCACAAAACCUUCACAAAAAUAACAGAAAACAAGAAAAAUUGCUCAAAAUUCCAAACAAGGGAGAAGAGGCUAUCCUGGUAAAGAGGGAUUCACUAAGAGCAAAAAGGGCAAGAAGAGAAUGAAAAAUGGCAUGCUGCUAGAAUUGUUUGAAUUUAUGGGAGAAGAUCUUGUCUAAUGAAACAAGAUUCUAAAUGUAGGUGGGAGCCAAUUUGCUGAAGAAAUGGAAUACCAGAUUAAGUUUAUCUGUUGUUUUAUAGUCAUUGAGUUUAAAGCAGUGGAAUUCUGUGUUCAUUCUCUGCAUUGGUAUCCCCAGCAUUUAGUACAGUGCAUGGUACACAGUAACUCAAAAGUUUGAUCGAUGAUAAGGGUAAUUGAUGAAGAAAGCAGAAUGAAGAGGGGAAUGAGAAGAUGGAAGACUUCAGAAGAGUGUUAGGAUGGUCCUGGCAAUAGUUGAAGAGGGCCUUAAUUGGUGGAAUUGCAUGGAGAAUGGAAAGGAAGUGACAAAUAGAAAAUCCUGGGAAGUCAGAAUCCAUAAAGUUUGACAAAUGAAGGGAUAGCAAAUGAAGGAGAUUGAGUGAAAAGGAAAGAGUAUAUGAUGAUAAUGAAAUUUCUUUCAGAGGAUGACUAAGAGUGAUGGUACCAUCAACAGAAAUAGGGAAGUUAGGACAGGCAACUUUGGGGAGAUGAAUUCAGUUUUGUAUUCAGUGCAAAGUAGAGGUAGAGCUAGCCAGAAGGAAAUUAGGAAAAAAAAAAAAAAAACUCUGGGACUGGAGAAUUAGAUUUACAGAAGAGCAGUAAUUGAAGUUAUGUUCAUUAGAUUGCCAGAGAUGGAAGGCCAAGGCCAACAACAAGGCCCUGGGGAAUGAGUACAUUUAGGUGGGAGGAAGGAGAGGAGAGGAACAGCAGCUUUGAACAAUUAGUACACAGCCUACAAAUAACAUCUUUAAACAACAAAAGUAAGAACUCUUCUCUUUCCCUGAGUCAUUUGUGAAUUCUUUGAAAAUAAAAGAGUGCAAAGAAUGGAGAUGGUAUUGGAGUGGUUAUGAAGUAUAUGUUGGUGGGCAAAUUAUCCAAAAAUAAUUGAAAUAAAGUCCAAGUUUCUACUAUACAA